rnacentral:rRNA from 1 species
GACGAACGCUGGCGGCGUGCUUAACACAUGCAAGUCGAACGGAAAGGCCCUGCUUUUGUGGGGUGCUCGAGUGGCGAACGGGUGAGUAACACGUGAGUAACCUGCCCUUGACUUUGGGAUAACUUCAGGAAACUGGGGCUAAUACCGGAUAGGAGCUCCUGCUGCAUGGUGGGGGAUGGAAAGUUUCGGCGGUUGGGGAUGGACUCGCGGCUUAUCAGCUUGUUGGUGGGGUAGUGGCUUACCAAGGCUUUGACGGGUAGCCGGCCUGAGAGGGUGACCGGCCACAUUGGGACUGAGAUACGGCCCAGACUCCUACCGUAGGCAGAGGUGGAGAAUGUUACACAAUGGGCGGAAGCGUGAUGCAGCACAGCCGCGUGCGGGAUGACGGGCUUCUGGUUGUAAACCGAUUUCGCCUGUGACGAAGCGUGAGUGACGGUAAUGUAUAAAGAAGCACCGGCUAACUACGUG